rnacentral:miRNA from 1 species
ACACUUCACCUUCCACAUAUAUAUAUAUAUAUAUAUAUAUAUAUAUAUAUAUAUAUAUGUGGAAGGUGAAGUGU